AAAGUCGUAACAAGGUUUCCGUAGGUGAACCUGCGGAAGGAUCAUUACGAGAGUUGAAGGGGGCUCGGGGCCGGCGGACUCGUCCGUUCGGUGCCAGCACCUGGACUCCUCACCCCUCUGUCACGCGUCACCUCCGUUGCCUCGACGGACCUGUCCCCCCCUCACGGGGCGGACUACCGGCUCGCUGGGUCCCAAAAGGCCCCGUGUCGCCCCCGAAACUCGGGGGCGGUCGGCCGGUUCGCGUCCGCCAGAGGACCCGUACCGAUUCGUCUCCGACGUGCGACCUUCUGAGUUUGCGGCCUUCGGGUCGGAUGAAAUCUUGAAAAACUUUCAACAACGGAUCUCUUGGUUCCG
rnacentral:misc_RNA from 1 species